rnacentral:rRNA from 1 species
CAGUAGCCGCGGUAAUGCGGAGGGGGCUAGCGUUGUUCGGAAUUACUGGGCGUAAAGCGCACGUAGGCGGCUUGGUAAGUUAGAGGUGAAAGCCCGGAGCUCAACUCCGGAAUUGCCUUUAAGACUGCCGAGCUAGUAGGUGAGAGAGGUAAGUGGAAUUCCGAGUGUAGAGGUGAAAUUCGUAGAUAUUCGGAAGAACACCAGUGGCGAAGGCGGCUUACUGGCUCAUACUGGACGCUGAGGUGCGAAAGCGUGGGGAGCAAACAGGAUUAGAUACCCCUGUAGUCCCUGUCUCUUAUAC